rnacentral:lncRNA from 1 species
GCGGCUGAGAAGCGCGGGCCGGAGUGCGGUGCUAGACCGGCUGGAGGAGGCGGCUCCGUGAAGCCGGUGUGGGCGCAGGUAUGGGUCUUACACCAUGAAGGAAGACGACAGCCCAGGAGGGGAGCCACCACUGUGAUGAACGCUUGCAGGAGCCAUGAGGGGCGGCUUUCCGCGCAGUGUUUGCAGUGAUUUAUGGGAGUCAGGGGCUGCCAGAGAGGGAUGUGGAUGUUAUCAGCUUGGUGGAUUAAAUGCCCAUUUACAUUGUUAUUGACAUAUAAAUUAUCUAUGCCAAGGAGACAGUGAAGGAAAGGGUUUCUGGGGCAGUAAUGUGGUGUGUGCCUCAGGAUAUGGACUUGUCUUUGCCCAAAUUUGUCCUCUGGGCUCUCAUGAAGCGAGUCUCAGACCUAAAGUAAAACCCCAAGACUUAGCUCUCAUGAUGCCGGCAGCAGUCACCCUCAUUGCAAAGGCAGCGGUGCCGAGUGAGGUUCCCGAGUGGAUUUUAAGAAGACAGGAAGACCUUUGAAGAGGUGGUGCUAAUUUCCCUGGCUGGUGGGAACUCUGUCUGGAGGUUGCAUGCAUCACUUUUGUGUGGGUUAUUUUGUUCCUCUGUGGAUUUGGAAGCAUCGCUGAAGGAGAGAGAGGAUUUUAUUUCUGGGAAAUGGAAUCAGUUUCUGAGUCCAGCCAACAGCAGAAGAGAAAGCCCGUUACCCACGGACUGGAAGAUCAAAAGAGGGUAAGUGGCAGAACUUUGUUGGUUGAUUGGAUUAUGGUGCUGGAAUUGCUAAGUAUGAUUCAGAGAGCAUAGGUGGUCAUCAUUGAGUAUGCUUGUCUGUCUUUCUCUCCAGAAGGAGGUAGCAUGGUGGCUUGAGGUUUGCUAUGUCUUGAUGCUGGGUGUCUUGACUUACUGGUAGGCAAGAAGAAAGAUAAAGAAAAGGGAAAAAAAUUCAGUCCUGGCAGCCAAAAAGGCAAAGAUUUAUAACUGUUAACUGAGGAAGUUAACAAAAAAUGUUGGUGUUCUCAAAGUCCAAUAUGAGUUUCUUUGUACUGAAGCUCCCUUCGGGAUUCACACACUCUUAGCACCUUUUGGAAAUGUUGCUCCUGACAGUGGAGGUUUUGUUUGAAUUAUUCUCUGUGUGGUUGGCUGGCUCUUGUGUUUAUGGAUCAAAAACAUAUUCUACUGCACUCUUUGGCCCUAUCUGUGAGAAUGUCACAGCCGUUUAAAAUGGCCUGUUGAGUAUAGGUCAUUUGCUGUCAUUGGCCUGAAAGCUGCAGUCACCCAGGACCUGUCUACCAGUUAAAGUUCAACUUGUCUUUAAAAGGCAGACGCGUUGGGGAGUAGCAUAGAGUGGUUGGUUGUCUAGGAAGAAAGUUGAAGCUGUAUCUUCUCACUCUUGGGGCGUAGCUAGGACCGGGGGGUGGCAAGGGUUAAAUACAGCUCUAGCAGAGUCCAAGCUUGUGUUAAACUGAAAAUAAUUUCUGAUAUUUCCUUUGAAAUGUUGUAGAUGGUAAAAAAAAAAAAAAAAAAAAAA